rnacentral:rRNA from 1 species
UCUGGGACAAGCCCUGGAAACGGGGUCUAAUACCGGAUAGCACUUCCACGCGCAUGGGUGGGGGUUGAAAGCUCCGGCGGUGAAGGAUGGGCCCGCGGCCUAUCAGCUUGUUGGUGAGGUAAUGGCUCACCAAGGCGACGACGGGUAGCCGGCCUGAGAGGGCGACCGGCCACACUGGGACUGAGACACGGCCCAGACUCCUACGGGAGGCAGCAGUGGGGAAUAUUGCACAAUGGGCGCAAGCCUGAUGCAGCGACGCCGCGUGAGGGAUGACGGCCUUCGGGUUGUAAACCUCUUUCAGCAGGGAAGAAGCGAAAGUGACGGUACCUGCAGAAGAAGCGCCGGCUAACUACGUGCCAGCAGCCGCGGUAAUACGUAGGGCGCAAGCGUUGUCCGGAAUUAUUGGGCGUAAAGAGCUCGUAGGCGGCUUGUCACGUCGGGUGUGAAAGCCCGGGGCUUAACCCCGGGUCUGCAUUCGAUACGGGCUAGCUAGAGUGUGGUAGGGGAGAUCGGAAUUCCUGGUGUAGCGGUGAAAUGCGCAGAUAUCAGGAGGAACACCGGUGGCGAAGGCGGAUCUCUGGGCCAUUACUGACGCUGAGGAGCGAAAGCGUGGGGAGCGAACAGGAUUAGAUACCCUGGUAGUCCACGCCGUAAACGGUGGGAACUAGGUGUUGGCGACAUUCCACGUCGUCGGUGCCGCAGCUAACGCAUUAAGUUCCCCGCCUGG